ACAAACAUUCAUAUGUACAUAUAUACAAUACAUAAGUAGAUGUCUGCAUACAAUUAUCAAUACAUAAGGAAGCAUACUCUUAAUUAAGCUCAGACAAUGAGUAAACGCUAAGAAUAUUAAGUAUUUGCUGACAUGCCAAGCUUAAGCUCAUAUUACAAGAUUUUCGUUACAAACAUUUUACUUUAAAAUUUACAAGCAACGAUAUCUAAAACCUAUUUACCUUCCUUUGUGAUAGGGUGUUUUGCGAAUUGUUAGCCUUGAAGUAUCAAUAUUGCAAGACAUUUAGGUAAAUAAGUUAUUAUAUACGGCAAAGUAGGAAUUAAAAGUAUAAGCAAUUAUAACAAAUUGUAAAUGAGUAAAGAUAUCUGUAGUAGUUUGUGGAAAAAUUCAAUCCAUACAAUAUAUGUAUGCAUAUAUGAAUAAAAGCACAUGUGUAUGUACAUACAUAUCUAGCAACAUCGACCAGCUGUGAUUCACCUGCAUACAACGCCCCAGUUUGUGCCUACUUGGCCCCAAUUUUUUUUUUUUCCUUCAAUAAUUUAGUGUAAACGACUAGAAGGAAGACAAACAAUUUUAAUGGACUUAGAAAGGUAUGCACAUACGUGUGCAAGAUAUAUACAUAUCGCAGAGCGCAAAGGCCAUGCCAACUCUUAUGUGUGGACACUGAAACAAACAUAUGUACGUCAUCACAUUCGUGCUUUGACCUCUAGUCGGCAUGGCCCUUGCUAGCUAUCAACACAUAUGUACGAAUUGGUACAAUUUUUGGUGUGUCACAAUUCGAACUAAUAUAAGGGCAAUUAAUUUAAAGUUCAUUUGCACUACUAUGUAUGUAUGUGAGUUUACUUAACAUUUUUGGGCAAGACACACUUACUCAGUUAUUAGGAAAAAUGUUAAAAAAAAAGAAACAAAUCUAAAAAUAAAAAUGUU